AGCCCCGGCUAACUACGUGCCAGCAGCCGCGGUAAUACGUAGGGGGCAAGCGUUGUCCGGAAUAAUUGGGCGUAAAGGGCGCGUAGGCGGCUCGGUAAGUCUGGAGUGAAAGUCCUGCUUUUAAGGUGGGAAUUGCUUUGGAUACUGUCGGGCUUGAGUGCAGGAGAGGUUAGUGGAAUUCCCAGUGUAGCGGUGAAAUGCGUAGAGAUUGGGAGGAACACCAGUGGCGAAGGCGACUAACUGGACUGUAACUGACGCUGAGGCGCGAAAGUGUGGGGAGCAAACAGGAUUAGAUACCCUGGUAGUCCACACUGUAAACGAUGAAUGCUAGGUGUAGGGGGUAUCGACCCCUUCUGUGCCGCAGUCAACACAAUAAGCAUUCCGCCUGGGGAGUACGGCCGCAAGGUUGAAACUCAAAGGAAUUGACGGGGGCCCGCACAAGCAGCGGAGCAUGUGGUUUAAUUCGACGCAACGCGAAGAACCUUACCAGGUCUUGACAUCCACUUAAACUUACAGAGAUGUAAGGUGUGCUUGCACAAAGUGAGACAGGUGGUGCAUGGUUGUCGUCAGCUCGUGUCGUGAGAUGUUGGGUUAAGUCCCGCAACGAGCGCAACCCUUAUCUUCAGUUACUAACGCGUAGAGGUGAGGACUCUGAAGAGACUGCCGGGGACAACUCGGAGGAAGGUGGGGACGACGUCAAAUCAUCAUGCCCCUUAUGACCUGGGCUACA
rnacentral:rRNA from 1 species